rnacentral:lncRNA from 1 species
AAAUAUUUUUCAGUGGAGCAUAGGACUUUGUUACAAGAAAAAAACUGUCAUAUUUCAAAGUGGUUACUUUUCUCCUCCCCCUGCCAAAGACACGAGAUGAUUUUUCUUGGCUCUUCAUGAUGAGAACUUGGUGGGGUUCUUGGAGGUAAAAACCUCUGAAUAUGCAGAACCCCUUCUAAGACUGUGACUCCAAGGAGUUUUUAUUCUUGAGCUAUGUCACACUCAACUUACAGCAAUUUAUCUGAAUUACCAUUCAGGUGAUCCAUCCACUUUUUAGUUCCGUGGUUCCUGCUCCAGAAGACAAGGACAAACUGAUACAUCAUCAAAAGAAUUUAUUUAGCCAGAGUGAAUACAUUCUUCUUUAUCCUCAUUGUCUUUAUGGAAACCUCCAAAUGAGCAGCAGUGCACAUCUAUAAAGGAUACAUGGAUGAUUCAGAGAAAAAAAAGUGACCAUGAUUUGCCCAGAAAAUCCACCAAUUGGAAGGGGAGGACUCUUUUCUUCCCAUCCCACUCAUGAGAACAGUGAAGGUAAUGUCCACAGGACAUGUUCCUUACAGUCCCACCUUGUUGGACCCCACUCGGUAAUUUGGAGUCUUGUGAUCGUGAUCUGGGAAGAAAGGGCAACAGCUUUCCAGGUGAAGGUGCAGGGAAGAGUUGUCUCCUUGGAGUCCAGGAUGGGAGCCUACUGCUUGCUGGGAAUCUCAGCUGGUGAAAAGGAUGCAGGGCAAGUAGUGGUUAAGCAUGGUCAUUUGAGCAUCAAGGUGAAAAGCUGCUUCUAAAUUGUAGGGACCAGAUCCACACAGCGAUCUCUCCAACAUGGGUGGAAAAGGAUGUUCUUGGCCACAUUAAUCACACCUCUCUCCAGAAAUCCAGGCACCAGGAAUUAAGCCAAACACCAGAUGAGGGCUCCCCAUGUGCUGUUAAGAACUGCAGCCUUCCUGCAGGAGCAUCAGUAGACCCAAAAGGCCAGAAAACA